rnacentral:rRNA from 1 species
UACGGAGGGUGCAAGCGUUAUCCGGAUUCACUGGGUUUAAAGGGUGCGUAGGCGGAAUGAUAAGUCAGUGGUGAAAUCCUUCAGCUUAACUGGAGAACUGCCAUUGAUACUGUCAAUCUUGAGUACAUUUGAUGUGGGCGGAAUGUGUCAUGUAGCGGUGAAAUGCUUAGAUAUGACACAGAACACCGAUUGCGAAGGCAGCUCACAAAACUGUAACUGACGCUGAGGCACGAAAGCGUGGGUAUCAAACAGG